rnacentral:rRNA from 1 species
GUCGAACGAGAAAGUGGAGCAAUCCAUGAGUAAAGUGGCGCACGGGUGAGUAACACGUGACUAACCUACCCUGGAGUGGGGGAUAACUGAGGGAAACCUUAGCUAAUACCGCAUAAUACCUACGGGUCAAAGGAGCAAUUCGCUUCAGGAGGGGGUCGCGGCCGAUUAGUUAGUUGGCGGGGUAACGGCCCACCAAGACAGUGAUCGGUAUCCGGCCUGAGAGGGCGCACGGACACACUGGAACUGAAACACGGUCCAGACUCCUACGGGAGGCAGCAGUGGGGAAUUUUGCGCAAUGGGGGAAACCCUGACGCAGCAACGCCGCGUGGAGGAUGAAGUCCUUCGGGACGUAAACUCCUUUCGAUCGGGACGAUUAUGACGGUACCGGAAGAAGAAGCCCCGGCUAACUUCGUGCCAGCAGCCGCGGUAAUACGAGGGGGGCGAGCGUUGUUCGGAAUUAUUGGGCGUAAAGGGUGCGUAGGCGGUUUGGUAAGUCUUAUGUGAAAUCUAUGGGCUCAACUCAUAGACUGCAUGAGAAACUGCCGGGCUUGAGAAUGGGAGAGGUGAGUGGAAUUCCUGGUGUAGCGGUGAAAUGCGUAGAUAUCAGGAGGAACACCUGUGGCGAAAGCGGCUCACUGGACCAUAACUGACGCUGAUGCACGAAAGCUAGGGGAGCAAACAGGAUUAGAUACCCUGGUAGUCCUAGCCCUAAACGAUGACUGCUUGGUGUGACGGGUACCCAAUCCCGCCGUGCCGUAGCUAACGCGUUAAGCAGUCCGCCUGGGGAGUACGGUCGCAAGGCUGAAACUCAAAGGAAUUGACGGGGGCCCGCACAAGCGGUGGAGCAUGUGGUUUAAUUCGACGCACCGCGAAGAACCUU